rnacentral:rRNA from 1 species
AACGAACGCUGGCGGCAUGCCUAACACAUGCAAGUCGAACGAGACCUUCGGGUCUAGUGGCGCACGGGUGCGUAACGCGUGGGAAUCUGCCCUUGGGUUCGGAAUAACAGUUAGAAAUGACUGCUAAUACCGGAUAAUGUCUUCGGACCAAAGAUUUAUCGCCCAGGGAUGAGCCCGCGUAGGAUUAGCUAGUUGGUGAGGUAAAGGCUCACCAAGGCGACGAUCCUUAGCUGGUCUGAGAGGAUGAUCAGCCACACUGGGACUGAGACACGGCCCAGACUCCUACGGGAGGCAGCAGUGGGGAAUAUUGGACAAUGGGCGAAAGCCUGAUCCAGCAAUGCCGCGUGAGUGAUGAAGGCCUUAGGGUUGUAAAGCUCUUUUACCCGGGAUGAUAAUGACAGUACCGGGAGAAGUAAGCCCCGGCUAACUCCGUGCCA